AUUGAACGCUGGCGGCAGGCCUAAUACAUGCAAGUCGAGCGAGCGGCGGACGGGUGAGUAAUGUCUGGGAAACUGCCUUAUGGAGGGGGAUAACUACUGGAAACGGUAGCUAAUACCGCAUACCAUUAGCUGUGCCCAGAUGGGAUUGGCUAGUAGGGGGGGUAACGGCUCACAAAGGCUACGAUCCCUAGCUGGGCUGAGAGGAUGACCAGCCACACUGGAACUGAGACACGGUCCAGACUCCUACGGGAGGCAGCAGUGGGGAAUCUUGCGCAAUGGGCGAAAGCCUGAUGGAGCCACGCCGCGUGUGUGAUGAAGGCCUUCGGGUCGUAAAACACUUUCAGCGGGGAGGCGUUACCCGACGAAGAAGCACCGGCUAACUCCGUGCCAGCAGCCGCGGUAAUUC
rnacentral:rRNA from 1 species